rnacentral:rRNA from 1 species
GAUGAACGCUGGCGGCGUGCCUAAUACAUGCAAGUCGAGCGAACGGACGAGAAGCUUGCUUUUCUGAUGUUAGCGGCGGACGGGUGAGUAACACGUGGAUAACCUACCUAUAAGACUGGGAUAACUUCGGGAAACCGGAGCUAAUACCGGAUAAUAUUUUGAACCGCAUGGUUCAAAAGUGAAAGACGGUCUUGCUGUCACUUAUAGAUGGAUCCGCGCUGCAUUAGCUAGUUGGUAAGGUAACGGCUCACCAAGGCAACGAUGCAUAGCCGACCUGAGAGGGUGAUCGGCCACACUGGAACUGAGACACGGUCCAGACUCCUACGGGAGGCAGCAGUAGGGAAUCUUCCGCAAUGGGCGAAAGCCUGACGGAGCAACGCCGCGUGAGUGAUGAAGGUCUUCGGAUCGUAAAACUCUGUUAUUAGGGAGGAACAUAUGUGUAAGUAACUGUGCACAUCUUGACGGUACCUAAUCAGAAAGCCACGGCUAACUACGUG